CCUUUCGGCAUCAGGCUGGCGACCUUCUCGGCCAGUUGGAAGGCCAGCGGAUGCGAGACCUGGAAGCUCGGAGCGUAGUCGAGACAGCCCAACUGAUGGGCGACGGCGUCACGGAUCUGCUGGCGAUUAUGGCCAGCGCCGCAAGUCCACAGGCCCGACAGCGAGUCGAAGAUGCGCCGGCCCUGGUCAUCGAUGAAGUAACGUCCCUCGGCACCAGCGAUCAUGCGCGGGUUGGCAUGAAAGUCGCGAUUGGCGGUGAAGGGCAUCCAGUAAUGUUGGUUGAGCUGAGAACCGUGCUGUUCACGGCUCCCGGCUUCCGGGGUGUCGAAGGCCUGCAUGACGUAUCUCCUGUGAAGUGCCUGCAAUGGAAACACUGUUGAGUGACGGCUCGCGCGGCAUCAUCAACGUGUCCCGCUGAGCAUGGUUCACAGCAUGGGUCAGGAAUCAGGUUGGUAAAAUCAAAUGUUACUUGCGCUUGGGUGAGUAUCUAUAAACGUAACCGAAUACGCCCUUCAGGGCGUAUUCUCCAGGAGCAAGCGUGGCGAGAGGGCCGUCCGAUCCAGGCGCAGCUCGAGUAUCGCGGGUCGGCCCGCCUGACGAGCGCGAGCCAGGGCUGGCGCGAUAUCGCCGUCGUCGCAUACCACCUCACCGUAGCCACCAUAGGCCUGCGCCAGAGCGGCAAAAUCCG
rnacentral:tRNA from 1 species